rnacentral:rRNA from 1 species
GACGGAACCACACAAACGUUAUUCGGAAUUACUGGGCUUAAAGGGUGCGUAGGCGGCGCAGAAAGUAGGGUGUGAAAUCCCUCGGCUCAACCGAGGAACUGCGCCCUAAACUACUGUGCUCGAGGGAGGUAGAGGUGAGCGGAACUUAGGGUGGAGCGGUGAAAUGCGUUGAUAUCCUAAGGAACACCGGUGGCGAAAGCGGCUCACUGGACCUCUUCUGACGCUGAGGCACGAAAGCUAGGGUAGCGAACGGG